CUUUUUCCUCCUUCCUGCUGACUUGCUGUUCAAGUGAUAUAACCCUCCUAAACCUCUCAUCCCAAUGUUCCCCCAUCUCCAGCGCCUCUGUUUCAUCUUCGUCUUCUUCCUCAUACGCUACUUCAAGGCCGUCCUCAAAGUCAAAUUCAAAGUCGUGGGCUUGGGCCAUUUGGGGGCCAAUCUCGAGUGAACGAGAGUAGGGAAUCCCACGUCGAGCGGCUUUUCGCAUCUUGAUCCUAUAUGAGAGAAGACACUCAUUAAUAUGUGCAUGUCGUGAACGGAGAAGGGAAAGGGAAAUGAUGGAAAAAAAAAACUCACCCCUCGAGCUCGGCAGCCCUCUCUUUCUUCCAUCUCUCCAUUUCCACACGAAGCUUCCCAAGCUCUUCUCUUUGCGAUUCGGCGAGUUCGACCGCUUUGAUCUCCUCAACAGUUGGGUGAUCACAACCUGCAAGGCGAAUGACUUCAGGGGCUUCCAUGUGGUCUGAUGGUUCAUAUAGAGAAAGGGAAUCUUGUCAGCUCAGCGCCAAGAGAAAAGGACGAUACAACAUACCAGAGGCAUGGGUCAUGCGAUGUGCGAACUCGCAGACAGACCCGGGGCUGAAGAUGAAUUCACCACCUAAUUGGGUAAGGUCCCCUGGAGGCUUGACAGGCAUCUUGAAGAGGGCGUUCUGCAAGUCGAGCGUUAGCCUUGUGCAAAGUCAUUGUUAUAAAAGGCGCGACCUACAGAGAUACCAUGAGCGAGUUGACCAGGCACAGCACGUUGAUGAUACUCCGCUCGACCUUUCCAGAAAUGACCCCAGGGUGCUGUCUUCGGUGCACCUUUUGUCAUGCUAUGUUGAUGGGUCAGUAUUAAACGCCUAAUGGUCGAUCAUACCAACGUACCCCAUGAGUGAGUACAGCUUCUUGGGUCCGUCCACAUAGAUAGGGAACGGGCAAUUAAACAACCUCCUAUACGCCUUGAGCACCUUCCAGCUGCCGUGACCAAUGAUUACUACCUUGAUACCUGCCUUCUCGAGGGCCUCGGGAGAAAGAAUCGAGAUAGAGGCAAGCGUAUAAUCUUGACAUUGACCGCACCAGAACGUGCGGAUGAAGAAGACGACAGUUUUGGGAGUAGGUUUACCAGCUUCGACAGGACCGGGGGGCGAAAGGAGAUCACCAAAGCAGAUCGGAAGACCAUUCUCAUCUCUCACAAAACAUGUCGAAGCUUCAAGCACUCGAUCCCUUGAAACUAGUUUAUCGACGCUAAACUCGACGUCUGCAAGGGUCUCGCCUCCGAGCAGAAUUACCUUCUUGGGAACUUUGAUCUUUUGCUGGACCUUUUUCGAACCCUUGCUUCUGACCACGACAUCGUCCGACAUCAAUCUCUUGGGCAUAAUAGGAGGCACGGAUGAUGGUACAUUAUGUACACUCCUAUGAGACGAGUCCCGAUUGUGCACGGCUUGCUCAUGGGUGGAACUAUGGAUAGGUGUCAUGAUCCUUACACUGUCAGCGGAGGAGGAGGAACGACCUCCAUGAGUGGCAGCGGAGAGAGGUGCGGUGUGGGCGGAUCGGAUGGACGCGGUGUCUGUCGGAGCAGGAGGCAAAGGACGAUUGACGGAAAGGGUGUACUCGGGGACACGGGAGUGCAGCUGUUGCACAUGUUGUUCGGAGAAAUGAGGAGAUGUGUCUCUUCGGGGAAAUGGCUUGAGCGGAGGAUCAGCCGAAUGAUGUAAGGGGAAUGACGGAGGAGGGAAGGGUGGUUGAGUUUUGCGGGUAGGAGUGGAGGGGGAACUUGCACAGGCACGCUCGAGAUGUGGUCGGCUCGUCACUCGAUGGGGCGGCACUGGAGCUAUCACUCCCGCACUUACCGCCCUGUUUGCUAACUGCGAACCAGUCCCAAAUCUGUUAUCUAUCUUCUCUGUACUGUAGCGCAUGCUUUCAUAACCGUACGAGCUGCUGCUUCUCGUCAUAGCUUGUGAAGCGACAUUGGCGAAUGGAUGGUUGGGCGGAAGGCCGAGGCCGAUUGUGAAUUCUUUAUCUUGCAUUGGCAGCGGCAUGGUUGGAACAGGCUUGCGUCGAAUAGACUUGGUUCUUGCAGAUCUGGUAGAAUGGCUCCGGCAAAGAUUGCUAUUACGGACCGAACCGUGCUCUAAAAGAAUGGCGGCGUUUGGUAAAGAGGGUGGACGGUGCAGGGCUUGUGACUGAUGAGGAGAGUGACCGUCGGAGGAAGGGGAGUGAUCAACAGAGGGCAGUAAAAACGAGUGGCGGGCUGGCGGGGUAGUGGCUUCGAAAGCAGAGUGGGGGCGAGCUGAAAAGGAGCUGGAAGGUAGAGAAUUUGCAGCAGGCGAGAGCGAAGAAUACACGCUGUUCGAGCGACCGAGGUCGUUCGGUGCAUUCUGUGGUUGGAGGGAAUGAAGCAUGACGGGUGACUACCGUACAAUGUAUGAUCCUGAAAAAGACGCCUGAAUGAUCCGCUAGCACCUUCCGAGACAGCUUGAUGUAUCAAAAAGCAGAGAUGCGAGGGCGUCCGUGGGCGGUAGGUGACGAAGAUGCGGGACGAGUUGGGACGACGACAGUGUUUUGUUCUUAUACUUGGAUCUUAUGCAUUCACUCUGA
rnacentral:sRNA from 1 species